rnacentral:rRNA from 1 species
AUGGCAUUCGCCGCCUCCACGGCCUGCUGCAAGCCGUCCGCCCUGCUGGCCCCUCGCGCCUCGUCGUCGUCGCCGCCGUCCCAGGCGCGCCUCUGCAGGCCCUCCACCUCGGCCGCGUUCCACGGCCUCAGGGCGCCGGCGUCGGCGUUCGCACUCGCGCCUGCGCCGCGCCGCCGCGCGGCGUCCACGGGCAUCGUCUGCGGCAAGGUGAGCAAGGGCAGCGUGCCGCCCAACUUCACGCUCAAGGACCAGGACGGCAAGACGGUGUCGCUCUCCAAGUUCAAGGGCAAGCCCGUCGUCCUCUACUUCUACCCCGCCGAUGAGACGCCGGGCUGCACCAAACAGAUCAUUCGCCAGAAGACAUUCAAUCCUCUUGGUUCUGCCGGAGCUAGCUCACCACUUGGGUCUCCCUUCCUUUCCAAACGCCAUGGCUCCACCACCGUCCGAGCUGGCCUCUCCUCCCCUAACCCCACUCCACAACACCACCGGGUCGCCAUGACCAUACCGUCUGAAGAAAUCAUGGAAGCAGCGACGCCGAGGAGGCAGCAGCCCAUCGAAGAGGAGGCCGUCGCCAACGGAGGAGGGCGGACGUGCGAGCUGCCGACGUGGGCGCUGAUCGGCGGCAUCACGGUGGGCGUGGCGCUGGCGCUGGCGCUGUCGGUGGACGCGGGCCCGGCGAUGGCGCUGGGGCCGGAGGGGCCGCUGCUGGAGGAGUUCUGGGACAACAUGCGGCGGUACGGGCUGUACGCGCUGACGGUGAGCACGGGGUUCGCGUGGGCGCUGGUGCAGCCCAUCUACGAGCUGCUGCGCAACCCCAUCACCGCCGUGCUCAUCAUCGUGGUCAUGGCCGGCGGCGCCGUGCUGACGGUCCAGGUCAUCAACGCCAUGGCCGGCAACUCCGACUUCGUCUACAUGUACGAGCAGUAG